CGUGAUCUAACAAGUAGCUGACUUUGCCACUCCCUUACUUGCUACCAGCUGGCAAAACAAUUAUUAGGUGCUUGGAGUGAACAGUAAACAUUUGACUCAAGGUUCAGAGGUCAGACGUUUAACUACUGGCUGGAAUGGUGGAAAGGGGGAAUGUAAGGAGAAAAGCUGGCCAUCGCAUGACACAACUAUAAACAGGCUUCAUUUGGUGAUACCUCCAGGUAUCAGAGGGACCAAGGCAACUAGGAUCUGGAGCAGACCACCACCAAACUGCAGCAGCCCUGUGGAAAAGUGGCCUGACUGUUAAAAAAAAGCAUCAACAAUAACAUCAACAAAAAAGACCCCACAAAAACCCCAUUCAAACGUCAGCUAUCACAGAGAUUGAAGAUCGAUAAGGCCACAAAGAUGAGAAAAAAAAUCAGUGCGAAAUUACUGAAAACUUAAAAGGCCAGGGUGUCUCUUCUACUCCAAAUGGCUGCAAUACCUCUCCAGCAAGGGCAGAGAACUGUGCUGAGGCUGAGAUGGCUGAAUUGACAAAUGUAGCCUUCAGAAGGUAGACAAUAAUAAACUUUGCUGAGCUAAGGAGCAUGUUCUAACCCAAUACAAAGAAGCUAACAAUCAUAGUAAUACAAUACAGCAAUGGAUAACCAGAAUUUUCAGUUUAGAGAGGAGCAUAACUGACUGGAUGGAGCUGAAAACACAACACUAGAACUUCACAAUGCAAUCACAAAUCUCAAUAGCAGAAUAGACCAAGAGGAGGAAAAAGUCUCAGAGCUUGAAGGCUAUCUUUGUGAAGUAAAACAGGCAGAUAAGAUAAAAAGGAAGAACCAAAACCUCUGAGAAAUUUGGGAUUAUGUAAAAAGACCAUACCUAUGACUGAUUGGGGUAUGUGAAAGAAAUGGGGAGAAUAAAACCAGGUUGGAAAACAUACUUCAGGGUGUCAGCCAGGAGUCCUUUCUCCACUGAGAAAGACAAGCCAAUAUUCAAAUUCAGGAAAUCCAGACCACCCCAGUAAGAAAGUCCAUUAGAAGAUCAACCCCAAGACAUAUAGUUCCCAGAUUCUCAGAGGUUAAAUGAAAGAAAAAAUGUUAAGGGUAGCCAGAGAGAAAGGCCAGAUCACCUACAAAUGGAAGCCUAUUGGGCUAACAGCUGACUUUUCAGCUGAAACCCUGCAAGCCAGAAGAGAAUAGGGGCCAGUGUUCAAUAUUCUUAAAGAAAAGGAUUUCCAACCCAGAAUUUCAUAUCCAGCCCAACUAAGCUUCAGAAGUGAAGGAGAAAAAAGAUCCUUUUCAGACAAGCAAAUGCUGAGGAAAUGUGUCACCACCAGGCCUGCCUUGCAAGACUUACUGAAGGAAGAACAAAAUGUGGAAAGUAAAAACCAUUACCAGCCAUUACAAAACCACAUGGAAGCACACAGGCCAGUGACACUAUGAAGCAACCACAUAAACAAGUCUGCAAAAUAACCAGCUAGCAUCAUGAUGACAGAACCAAAUUUACACAUAACAAUAUUAACCUUAAAUGUAAAUGGGCUAAAUGCCCCAAUUAAAAGACAUAGAAUGGUAAGCUGGAUAAAGAGUCAAAACCCAUUGGUAUGCUAUCUUCAAGAGACCCAUCUCACAUGCAGAGACACAUAUAGGCUCAAAAUAAAGGGCUGGAGGACAAUUUACUAAGCAAGGGGAAAACAGAAAAACCAGGGAUUGCAAUCUUAGUUUCUGACAAAACAGACUUUAAACCAAGAUUUAAAAAAAGAUGAAGGGAAUUAUGUAAUGGUGAAGGGUUCAAUUCAACAAGAAGUGCUAUUUUAAAUAUAUAUGCAAACAACACAGGACCACCCAGAUUCAUAAAGCAAGAUCUUAGAGACCUACAAAGAAACUUAAACUCCCACACAAUAAGAGUGGGAGACGUUAACAUCCCACUGACAAUAUUAGACAGAUUAUCAAGAUAGAAAAUUAACAAAGAUAUUCAAGAUGUAAAAUCAGCUCUGGAUCAAGUGGACCUGAUAGAUAUUUACAGAAAUCUCUACCCAAGCAACAGAAUAUACGUUCUUCUCAAUGCCACAUGACACUUAUGCCAAAAUUGACCACAUAAUCAGAAGUAAAACACUAGUCAGCAAAUGCAAAAGAACAGAAAUUGUAACAGUCUCUCAGACCAUAACACUAUCAAAUUAGAACUGAAGAUUAAGAAAUUCACUCAAAACCACACAAUUACAUGAAAAUUUAAAAUCCUGUUUCUGAAUGACUCCUGAGUAAAUAAUGAAAUUAAGUCCAAAAUCAGUAAGUUCUAUGAAACUAAUGAACGAAGAGAAAACAUACCAGAAUCUCUGGAUUGCAGCUAAAGCAGUGUUAAGAGGGAAAUUUAUAGCACUAAAUGCCUGCAUCAAAAAGCUAGAAGGAUCUGAAAUCAAUAACCUAAUAUCACAAUUAAAAGAAAUAGAGAACCAGGAGCAAACAAACUGCAAAGCUAGCAGAAGACAAGAAAUAACCAAGAUCAUAGUGGAACUGAAGGAUAUAGAAACACAAAAACCCCUUGGGAAAAAAAAUCAAUAAAUCCUGGAGCUGGGUUUUUGAAAAAUAAAUAAAAUACACUGCUAGCUAGACUGAUAAAGAAGAAAAGAGAAAAUCAUAUAGGUGCAAUAAGAAAUGAUAUGCAUAUGGGGAAUAUGACCAUUGACCCCACAGAAAUACAGCCAACCAUCAGAGAAUAUUAUAAAUACCUCUAUGCACAUAAACUCAAAAAUCUGAAAGAAAUGGAUGAAUUAUCGGAAAUAUACACUCUCCCAAGAUUGAACCUACAAAGAAAUUAAAUCCUUAAGUAGACCAAUAAUGAGUUCUGAAAUUCAGGCAGCAACAAACAGCCUACCAACCAAAAAGAAGCCCAGGAACAGAUGGAGUCACAGCUAAAUUCAGGCAGAGGUACAAAGAAGAGCUGGUACCAUGUAUAUCUAAACAAUUCCAAGCAAUCAAAAAGGAGCGACUCUUCCCUAACUCAUUUUAGGAAGCCAGCAUCCUCUUGAUAUCAAAACCUGGCAGAAAUACAACAAAAAAAGAAAACUUCAGGCCAAUAUCCAUGAUGAACAUUGAUGAAAAAUCCUUAAUAAAAUACUGGCAAACUAAAUCCAGCAGCAUAUCAAAAAUCUUAUCCACAAAAAUCAAGUUGGCUUCAUCCCCAGGAUGCAUAGUUGGUUUAAUAUAUACAAAUGAGGAAAUAUAAUCCAUCACAUAAACAAAACUAAAGACAAAAAUAAUAUGAUUAUCUCAAUAGAUGCAGAAAAGGCCUUCAAUAAGUGCAACAUGCCCUCAUGUUAAAAACUCCCAAUAAAUUAGUAUUGAAACAAACCUUGAAAUAAUAGCCAUAUAUGACAAACCCACAGACAAUAUCAUACUGAAUGGACAAAGCUGGAAGAACUCCCCUUGAAAACAAUGCCAGAAAAGGAUGCCCUCUCUUGCCACUCCUAUUCAACAUAGUAAUGGAAGUUCUGGCCAGGAAAAUGAGGCAAGAGAAAGAAAUAAAGAGUAUGCAAAUGGGAAGAGAGGGAGUCAAAUUAUUUUAAUUUGUAGAUGAUAUGAUGGUAGGUCUAGAAAACCCCAUCAUCUCAGCCCCAAAGCCCCUUAAGCUGAUAAACAACCUCAGCAAAGUGUCAGGAUACAAAAUCAAUGUGCGAGAAUUGCUAGCAUUCCUAUAUAGCUACAACAGGCAAGCAGAGAGCCAAAUCAUAAAUUAACUCCUUUUCACAACUGCUAUAAAGAGAAUAGAAUACCUAGUAAUACAGCUAACAAGGGAAGCGAAUGACCUCUUUAAAGAGAACUAUGAACAACUGCUCAAGGAUAUCAGAGAGGACACAAUCAAAUGGAAAAGCAUUUCAUGCUCACGGAUAGAAUCAAUAUUAUGAAAAUGCCUGUAUUGCCCAAAGUGACUUACAGAUUCAGUGUUAUUCCUAUUAAACUAUCAUUGACAUUCUUCACAGAAUUAGGAAAAACUAUUUUAAAAUUCACAUGGAAACAAGAAAGAUGAAAUAGCUAAGACAAUCCUAAGCAAAAAGAACAAAGCUGGAAGCAUCACACUACAUCACUUCAAACUAUACUACAAGACUACAGUGACCAAAAUAGCAUGUUGUUGGUACAGAAGCAAACACACAGACCAAUGAAACAGAAUAGAGAACUUGGAAAUAAGACUGCACACCUAUAACCAUCUGAACUUUGACAAGUCAGACAAAAACAAGGAAUGAGGAAAUAGGACUCCCUAUUUCAUAAAUGGUGCUGGGAGAACUGGCUAAUGAUAUGUAGAAAAUUGAAAAAGUAACUCAAGGUGGAUUAAAGACUUAAAUAUAAAGCCCCAAACUAUAAAAAACCCUAGAAGAAAAUCUAAGCAAUACCAUUCAGGACAUAGGCAUGGGCAAAGAUUUCAUGACAAAAAUGUUAGAAUUGCAAAAAAAACCCAAAAAUUCACUAAUGGGAUCUAAUUAAACUGAAGACCUUCUGCACAGCAAAAACAAAACAAAACAAAAACACAAUUACAUGAAAACUGAACUAUCAUGAGAGUGAACAGACAAUCUACAGAAUGGGAGAAAGUAACUGCAAUCUGUCUAUCUGAAAAAAGUUUAAUAUCCAGCAUAUAAAAGGAACUUAAACAUAUACAAGAAAAAGCAAACAUCCCCAGUAAGAAGCAGACAAAGAACAUGAACAGGCAUAUCUUAAAAAAAGACAUUCAUGCAGCCAACAAACAUAAGCUGAACAUCACAGAUCAUUACAGAAAUGCAAAUCAAAACCACAACGAGAUACUAUCUCACACCAGUCAGAAUGACACGUAUUAAAACGUUAAGAAACAACAGAUGCUGGUGAUGUUGCAGAGAAAACCAUAAAAUUUUACACUGUUGGCAAGAGUGUAAAUUAGUUCAAUGAUUGCAGAAGACAGUGUGGUGAUUCCUCAAAGAUCUAAAAAUACCAUUUGACCCAGCAAUCCCUUUACAAGGUAUAUACCCAAAGGAAUAUAAGUUAUUCUGUAAUACAGGUACAUGUCUGUGUAUGUUCAGUGCAGCAGUAUUCAUAAUAGCAAAGACAUGGAAUCAAUCCAAAUGCUCAUCAAUGAUAGAUUGAAUAAAUAAAAUGUGGUACAUAUAAGUCAUAGAAUACUACACAGCCAUAAAAAUGAAUGAGAUCAUGUCCUUUGCAGGUACAUGGAUGCAGCUGGAAGCCAUUAUCAGCAAACUAAUGCAGGAACAGAAAAAUAAACACUGCAUGUUCUCACUUGUAAGUAGAAACUUAAUGAUGAGAACACAUAGAUACUUGGUGAGGAACAACAUACACUGGGGCCGGUCGGGGGUGAAGAGAGGGAGAGCAUCAAGAAUAGCUAAUAGAUAAUGGACAUAAUACCUACCUGAGGAGAUGAUCUGUGCAGCAAACCACUCUGCACACAUUUACCAAUGCAACAAACCUGCACACCCUGCCCAUGUACCCCGGAUCUUAAAAGCUGGACAAAAAAGGCCAACCCCACCCCACAAACAUAGUGGUUUUCCCAGAGAGAGGAUCAAUUUGGGUCCUAGUCAAAGAGCUGACAGGAAACCUCACCUGUCAAUACUGAUCUGCUUGUGUGAGCACUGCACUGAUUUUGUCUUUCCAGUAAUGGAGAUCACUGUGAAACUUAUGAAAUAUUUGGAUAGAGUUCAUAAAAAUACUAAUUCAUUUUAACAGUCAUUUUUUGCAUUCCUACUAUAUGACACACACUUCAAGUAUGCUGGUGAUAACAAAACAAAAUAUUCCAUUCUGACACCAAGGAUCUUAAAUUAUGUCCAAUAGACUAUAAUAAAUAUGUGAGCAAAAUAUUACGUCAAUACAAUAAAGAAAGAUAUUUCACUCAAAAAACAUCUCCAGAAACAUUCUUUGGAAACAUGCAAUGGGAAAAAAUUUUGCUGUUUUUUAGUGGGGCACAGAUAGACUGAUUUCCAAAGUAAAUCUCUGGAAGGAAAAGCACUCAUAGUAAUUUUCAGAUAAUCCCUCAUAUAAUUUGCCCAAAUAUCUAAUUAAUUUAGUCAAAAACAUCUAUUCCUUGUAAUAAUAUAGACAAAGCUUAAAUACCUCAUAAGCUCAGUGUCCUAUAAAUUACCUAGUGCCUGACAAAUAAAAAAUAUAUUUCAAUAUUUGGCAUUAUGUACAAAAAGCACCUCAUAUAUUUAGACUGGUUGACUGAGUUAGGGGAGGGAAGGACUGGGGAGGGGAGUGGAGAGGUGAGGGCAGAGUGAAACCAAAUCCCUCCUGUUUAAUGGUCUCAUCUGACCCAGGGCCAGGCUGCCAAUAUAACACUCUCAAGUAGAGGAAUAAGGAUAAUGGAAUUAUUAACACAUAUUGAAAGGAUGCUUUCAGACAGAAUUUAUAUUACACCUGUUCAGAAUUGUGGUACAGAUAUUGAUUAGUGUUUUAAGUGGCAAAACAGUGAUACAGUUACUGAAGAACAAUUCACAUCAGAAAUUUAGUUACAAGGAGUUAAAUACUAUAAUGUGAAAGAUAAGCUAAAUGUGCUGUAUAAUUUUUUUUUUUUAAAUACAAUUUCAAGUCAGCUCACUGUGACCUUCGUCUCCUAGGUUCAAGCGUUUCUCCUGCCUCAGACUCCCAAGUAGGUGGGAUUACAGAUGCCCACCUCCAUGCCUAGAUAAAUUUUGUAUUUUUAGUAGAGAUGAGGUUUCACCAUGUUCGGCAGGCUGGUCUCGAACCCUGACUUCAGGUGAUCCACCUGCCUUAGCCUCCCAAAGUGCUGGGAUUACAAGUGUAAGUCAUCACACCCUGCCCUGAGUAAUUUUUUAAUAUUUUUCCUAUACUUUAUAAUCAUUUUAUAGUAUCCCUGGCUAUACCCCAGUAGAGUAAAACUUUUCAAGAAGAACUUAAUAUAGGUGUACUGGAUUAAACAUUCAAAUAUAUGUUUUUAGCCAAAAUUGGUUGCAUUUAGUAAUGUUAGAUCUUCAUGUUCAUUUGAAAACAAGUUACUUACAAAAGCAUUAAUUCAUUUUUUCAAGAAUGACUCUAAUUCUUACUAAUAUGACUCCAGAAAUAUCUUUAGUGUCACAGUCUAUUUAAUUUUUGCUUCCCUGCUCUUUCGUUACACACAAGUACACCUAUAUAUAAAAUGAGGCCCUCAUAGCAGUAGAAGCUCACCUUAAAUGUGCAUAUCAUGAACAGUGCUUACUGCUCAACUUCAUAUAGAAAAAAGUAUCUUAACUGCUGGAUUGUGGCUAGUUUUUAAACAUUUGCAACUUACUUAAACAAGAUAUUUUCCAUUGCUCCCUUAAUUUUUCUAAGUGGAAGGGAAUCAAGCCAUACAUAAGCUAAUUUCUAUUACACAAAAUUUCCCCUUUGCUGCUAACAGGUAAGCUUUAUCAAGACAAGGACAUUUUUGUUUUGUUCUCUGUUUUAUUUGAAGUUCCUAGAACCACGCUCAGUGCAUAGUGCUCCAUAAAUACUUAUUGAUAGACAAAAUGAAGCUGACAGUUGAGCAAAGACACAAAAGUGGUAAGAGAAUAAAUCAUGAGGAUAUCUACAGCAAACUUGAUUCAGAAGGAGGGAACAGAAAGUGAGAAAAGUCGACAGGAGUCAUGAGCAGCAAAGAUACCAGCGUAGCUAGAAAGAAUGAGUGAUGAUGGCAAAGUCAUAGAAAAGUAAAUCAAUGAUGGAGCUAAAUUUGAAGCAAAACAAUCUGGGUUAGAUCAGGUGUUCUUAACUCUUAAAUUCAGACCAAUAUCCAGCUCUCUCAUUUAUGAGCUAUAUUAAUUGGAGCAAGGUUCAGGAAUACACUCAAGCUCAGUAUUCUCAGUAGGGUUGAGGUAACUACCUCAUAGAAAUAUUAUAAAAGUUGAAGUGCUGUAGUGUAAAGCACCUUGCAAAUGAAUUAAUAAAUACUGGACUCCUUUUCACCCAUGUCCAUCCCAGUAUUUGUUGGGUGCCCUGCAGUGGUUUGGGUCAGAGAAGAACUCCAAAAAUACUACAAAAGUAUAUCUGCCACCAGUCCCCAAAUGUAAACCUGAGAACCAUUAGCAUAUGUAACCUACCAAUCUGAUGUCAGAUAAUAUUCUGAAGGAUUAUGAGGAAAUAAUAAAGUCCCAAACUCGGGUCAAAAACAGCUGGCAUUUGACCAAUUGUCUAAUCAGGGAAUUACCCAGGGAUGGACAAGAAAUUUUGAGUAAUGACUUAGCCUGCUGUCAUCCUCCAGAUAACUGAGUUUCCCAUUUAAGAAGGAUCUGUGGUGAGAGAUAAGGACCCAGGGCAAAGAUAAUCCUAAUUACAAUCCUAGACAGGGGACCUCCACUUUAUACUGGAAGUUCAAUGCCAGUUGUAUUCCUUAUGCUUCUCUUUAGCUCACAUGGAAGAAAGUAAUCAUUUGCUUACAGCAUUGGAAAUUAACCUUUGUAUGUAGAGUAUGGAGACUCAACAACAUCAAGUAAAAUUUAAAGGAUUAGAGGCCUUUAAUAUGAAAUUUCUAACUUCCAAUAACCCAGCAUAUUUUCAUAUUAUAAUAAUAAUACAUAUUGUGGUCAGCAUAAAAGAUAUUCAGAAAAUCACAUUUCCAUAUUUUCUAUAUUUCAAAAUGUAUGUCUGUGCAUAAGUCUUGCUCUCCCGUUAGAGAGCAAACUCAUUAAACAAUGAUUUUCCUGCCAAAGACACUCCUUCCCAUCCCUAACACAGUGACAUCACCAAUCACACUUCUAUGUUGAAGAAACUUACUAUUUGAUUGGCUCUCUGCAAGGAAAAAAAUUUCCUGGUUUGUAUGAAAAAUCCUGAAGAAGAGGAAUGCAGUCAAGGAAUGACAAUCAGGGCUGCCAUCCAUCAGGUUUAGGAGGUGCUGUGUUGAGAGCCCACAAUAUAUUUAGAUGUCUUGGAAAGUGUUUUAAUUUCUAUUAAUAUCAGCAAAACUAAAGAUUUAUAUUGAAGAAAAUGCUUUAAAAUAUGGUAUUCAUAUAUUCUAUAUAUUAAUAUAGAGGAAGGAGUACAUUCAGGCAAAUAUGCCGCUGUAUGCCACUAUAUGUCACAGUGUGACUCUGAACUCAAUAUACGUUCCAUGUUUAGAAUGGAAACAUUGCCAUGGGUUCUAGUACAGCUCUGCCAUGGCCAUCUACGAAAAAUAUAACUUAACUUCUAUUAAAGGUCAUCAAAAAGGCAGGCAGCCAUACAGGGAGGAGGCAGAGUUAGACUGGUACAAACACCAUCAGCCUAGAAAACCAGAGACCCUUUGAUCCCAGUUGGAGCCCUGCCUUCUUUUGGUCUGUGAGCCUGAACCACAGCUCUGCCCAUCCCAUCUGCUUUUAAACUGGACUUGGCAGCCUAGCUUUUGUAAUGCUGAGUUUUUAACUUCAAUUUGCUGCCUUUACCUCGCUCCAAUUUGUAUUUUCAAGUUACAGAUCUGAUCUUUAGGCUGGAAAUCAAAACUGAAAUUCUCAGAAAUUCCUUUAUAGAGUAGUUAUGUAGUAUUUAAACAUGUCCCUAGUUUAACCACCAAGCCAUAACAGCUUUGCAGGAAUGGGUCGUGCUUCAAGUCCUGAUACUGCGUAUGAAAGAAAGUACUGUUUCUAAAAACGGAUCUAAUUUUAGCAUAAAACAAACUACUACUUUGCUAAGCUCUCCAAAGUUCACAAUAUUUCUAUUCUGCUCUAAUCAGGGGAAAGCUUAGGAUUGGUGUUAUUUCAAGUUACUAAUUUUUAAUUAUUAUUCCAUAAUACCAGCCCUUCCCCUACUGUAGGUGAAUAAAGCUUGAAAAAAAAUACACACACACACACACACACACACACGGAGAGAGAGAGGGAGAGUAUUUUCUUAAUAUAUGUUUUUAAUUUUUGUGGGUACACUGUAGGUGCAUAUAUUUAUAGGGUACGGGAGAUGUUUUCAUACAGGUAUGCAAUGUGUAAUAAUCACAACAUGGCAGAUGAGGUUUCUAUCCCCUCAAGCAUUUAUCCUGGGUGUUACAAACAUGCCAGUUAUACUCUUUUAGUUACUUAAAAAUGUAAAAUUAAAUUUUCACUGACUAUAGUUAUCCUGUUUUGCUAUCAAAUACUAGGACUUAUUUAUUCAUUCCAAUUUUUUUUGUACAUAUUAACCAUCCCCACCACCUCCUCACCCCAUCAAUACCCUUCUCAGUCUCUGGUAACCAUCCUUCUACCCUCUACCUCCAUGGAUUACUAUUUUUUUUCAAUGGACAUAAGAAAUCAGGCCUGAAAAGGUUAAUUCUAGAAGAUAGGCUUAUUUUAUUUUAUUCAUUGUUAUUAAUUUAGUCAGGUACUCAGUCAGCAAAUCAUACUUAAUAUAUUCCAUGCCAAGUAUGCCUUACUUCUUUAGUUUUGUUUAUUUUGUACUAUUUCUGUCUUAUACCUGAGGUAUUACUGUGCUCUGAAUGAUACUUUAUAUCAAACUUUAUGUUAACCAUCCUUGAUAAGCAUGAAGAAAACUUAGUUUACAUCACUCUGAGGAGGGGGCUUCUGUAGAUUUGAUGGAUGUUGUAAAUCAGACUUAUUGGUUUUAAUGCAUAAGUCUUGCCCUGUUUCCCUGGGUUUGAGAUAGGAAAUCUGUAAUGGUUUAUACUGCUGGAUCAACAAUGGUCUAUACUGCUGGGUCAGUGGGUCAGUGCCUGUAAGUGCGAAUUCAGAGAAGGAAAUUCAAAAUAGUAAAGAUAAGUCAGACAAAUAGAAGGUAAAAAUUAGAUAAGUUUGGCAUUUUUCAAUUUUUUAGGAACUAUACAUAUUUUAAGGCAUGCAAAGAGAGGACACCCAUUAAUAAAUAUUAUUUUUUAUUAUCCAGAAUAAGAUAUGAAGUGAAAUCUUUUAUUUGCCAUGGAAGAGGAAGAAAGGGCUGGAAUAUUUUCUAGGGACAUUUUACAACCUCAGUCUGGAGCUGACAUACUACUUCUACUGACAUUUUUCUAGCCAAAAUUUGUCAUGUGACCUCCUAUUGUUUUCUGGGGCUAGAGAGUAUCAUUCUUAUAUCUAGGGUAGGGUUGUCAGAGUUAGCAAACGAAUAUGUAGAUCAUGAAGAUGAAUUUGAAUUUCAGAUAAACAACAAUAAUUCACCUACGCUAAAAUUUAUCCAUUGUUUAUCUGAAAUUUAAAUUUAACUGGUUGUCUUGUUUUUUACCUGACAGCCCUCCCACAAAAGAAAAAAGCCUUAGGAAGCCUUAGUAAUGGUUAUUUCAAUUCUCUAAUCAAAUGCUCUCAGAAAUUUUCUUUUGUCUGGGGAAAAUAUAUAUUUUUUGCCCCAGGGGAUUUCAUCUAGCAGCCCUUACAGUACACCACCUUGGCCCUGUCUUGUGUCAUUGAAAAAUCUGUUUACUAGUUUCAUUUCAUAAAUUCUGUUGUUUUCUAAUAGCACUUUUUAUUUUAUUUUUUUUAAAAAGCAUGGCUUGAAAACUGGAAUUACAGCUACCUAUAAGAUGGUAGAAAAAAACUUAGCUGCUAAAGUGUGUCCUGAGGAGUUUGUAGGCACCUGUUGACUCUUGUUGAAGGGCAGAGUUUGACUCAGGGAAAUAGCACAACUUGCCCCUGAGGCUCUACUCCAUGAACAGAGCAAAGUUUAGAAUGGAUGAGCAGCUUUGAAGACACACCAGAACAGAAGCAGUAGUUCAGGGAAUUGAACUUUUAGAGACUAGCUUAAAAAGUUGGUCCAAAGAGAUAUGCAUGAACGUGAAUUUUAGAAGAAAUGAUUUAAGGAUGGUGGGAGAAAUGUCUGGGGAGAAGGAGGUGAGAGGAUAGGUCAUACAUUCAAGAAAGACCAUACAUACCAAGACCAUUUUUGUGGUUUGGGGGAGAAUUAGUUUCUAAACUUCUAUAAUUAGAUAAGAGACAAAAUGAAUAUAAAAUCAAAGGUAUAAGUGCUUAAUAAUUAUUAGCCCUUAAUUACUUGUAUUGAUUCCAAGAUAGAUUUCUUUUCCCCACAGUCAAACCUUUCUUAAAUUCAGAUGUACCUUAAAAUCUAUGAAGUCUUAAAAUUGUCUGCUGCCAGGUGGUAGUCGUGACUUAGUGGUCUACACAGUUUCCUUUGACACCUUUUAUAAUAUCGAGUAAUUGCACCAACAUGUCUAUUACAGGAAAAACAAUUACAUUGAUAAACCAACCAUUACUAAAUAGCUUGCAAAAAAUAUGGUAGUGCAAAGGGAGCAGGUAAAAAAUAAAAUUCUUACAUGUUAGUCCUAGCAAUGACCACAAGCGUAUUUAUAGAAUGAUCCCCUCUUACCCCCAUUUCAAAAUUCCUACUCAUCUGGGGAGGUUGCAAGUGAGCCAUGAAAUGGGUUUGGAGCCAAGAAUACCUGAAAUAUCAGAUCUUGAAUAACUCCCUACAACAGACUGAAUGUUCAUGUUAAUAUUCAUAUGUGGAAACCUAAUCCCCAAUGUGAUGCUAUUUGGAAUGUGAUGGAUGAUAUUUGGAUGUUCGGCCUCUGGAAGAUCAUUAGGUCAUGAGGGUUACUGAAGGGAUUAGUGCCUUUACCAAACAGACCACAGAGAGUGCCCUCAUUUCUUCUGCCAAGUCAGGACACAAGAAGACUGCUAUAUUCGUCUGUUCUCGUGCUGCCAUAAAGAAAUAUCCAAGACUGGGUAAUUUAUAAAGAAACGAUGUUUAAAUGACUCAUAGUUCUGCAUGGCUCAGAAACCUCAGGGAAUUUACAAUCAUGAUGGAAAGUGGAGAGGAAGAAAGGUACUUUAUAAGGCAGCAGAAAGAAGAAGUGCUGAGCAAAAGGUGAAAGCCCCUGAUAAAACCAUCAGAUCGCAUGAGAACUCAUUCACUAUUAUGAGAACAGCAUGGGGGUUAUGUCCUCAUGAUUCAAUAUCCUCCCACCAGAUCCCUUCAAUGACACUUGGGGAUUAUGGGAACUAAAAUUCAAGAUGAGAUUUGGGCAGAGUCACUGCCAUCUAUGAAGUGGAAGAGGACCCUCACCAAAACCUGAUUAUGCUGGCAUCCUGAUCUCAGACUUCCAGCCUCCAGAACUGUGAAAAAUACAUUUCUGUCAUUUAUAAGCCUCUCACUUUAUGCUAUUUUGUUAUAGCAGCCCAAAUAAACUGACUGAGAGUGGAAUCUGUUUUGUCUUUUGCUUCAGUCACAAUUUUCCUAUUUCAAUUGAACCAAAGUACACAGUUUACUUACUGUAACAGCAGUAGUUUUGGUAGUCAACAUAUUUUGAGGAAAUUAGGAAAAGGGUUAUCAUCCAGUAUAAAUGGAAUAACACAUGUAAAGUACCAAGAAUGUGGCCUACCACAACAUUGAUAAAUGUUAUCAUUAUACUUGAUUUAUUUAUUACAUCAUCAUUCAACAUAAAUACUUUCUUUUUCUCCCAACUCUACCAAUCUGCUCAAGAUCCUGGACAAAUUCUUCUAGUCACUACUACUGAUUAUUUUUCUUGCACAUCUUCCUCCUUCCCCUUUUUGUGAACACAUUUGUAUACUCCUUAACUACGUUCUAAUUACGUUUUGUAUGGAAUCCAAAUUUCAUAAUUUCUGGGUCUCCAUCUUGACGGUCCUCCAGAGAGCUCUACCUCCUCAAUCUCAUUUGACACAUUGUCUAGACAGGUUUAAAUUCUAGCUCCAUGUAUUCCUAACGGAAGAAGUGCAAUUCUCACAUCUGUGAAAUGGCAAUAGUAAUUAUACUUAUUUCAAAAAGUUGUGAAGAUUAAAUGAUAAGAAUGCUUGAUACUUAAAUGGUACUAAAUAAAUACUAAUUCUUACCACAACUCUUAGUGCCAGAUACUGUCAAAUCUUGGCACCUUUAUGUACCUUCUACCCAAUUGUGUUUUCAAUUCCUCAAAAACAGCAAAUAUAGUCUAUGUGAGUCCCAGCACCAUGCUUUUAAUUUAAUGUGUUAAGCUAACACUUAGGUCUGCUAAUCUGGGGAUUUAAAAUGCAUGGCAUGAUCUGGGGAUCCUUGUGGUAAUAGAACUCUCUGUAUCUCAACAGC